rnacentral:rRNA from 1 species
AGCAGCCGCGGUAAUUCCAGCUCCAAUAGCGUAUAUUAAAGUUGUUGCAGUUAAAAAGCUCGUAGUUGAAUUUCGGGGUUCUACCGUUGGUCGGGCUAUUGUCUGUACUGGCGUGUAGAAUUUCUACCUUCUGGGGAACUAUCAUGUUAUUAAUUUAGCGUGGUAGGAAACCAGGACCUUUACCUUGAAAAAAUUAGAGUGUCCAAAGCAGGCUUAUGUCUGAAUACAUUAGCAUGGAGUAAUAAAAUAGGACGGUGGUCCUGUUUUGUUGGUUUCUGAAUCACCGUAAUGAUUAAUAGGGAUAGUUGGGGGCAUUAGUAUUCAAUUGUCAGAGGUGAAAUUCUUGGAUGUAU